CUCACUCACCGUAUCUCCGCUACCUUUGUUGAAGAAAUCCCCAAAUUAUCAUUUCUCACAGAUCUACUAUCAAUGGCUUGCAAGUUCUUAGACCUCCUGAUUGGGUUUCUACGAGGUUUAUAUUUAUAUCUCUCCUCUCCAAUUCUAGGUUUAAAUUUGUGUAUUUAGGGUUUGCUUUUCCAUUCGGAUGAAUUUUCGGCUCAACAAAUAUGGGUAGUUAGAUUUCUAUUACAAUUCUGAUUUAUUUUAUUCAAUGUUUGUUAUGUGAAGGAUCUAACAGAGGCAGCUGCGGAAACUCCUAUUGAGUUUUAGGUUUUUUGAUUUCCCUAAAACCUGUUUUUUGUGUUGAGUCGGUGUUAAAUUGAUGAAAUCCCGCAUUUAACUGCCAAUCAGGGGUUGAUGAUCGAUUACCUAGGUUCAUAAUAGACCUCUCCAUCUCUAGAAUCAAAGUUGCAUGUCACUUCAGAGUAAGAGGGAAGGAGAAGGGAGCAGACUUACCCUAAAUGGUCUUGAAGAAAUUCCUUAUUUGCCACUAAUUGUUAAACGCUUAUCGCCUGAGAUUAGGCUGUUGAAUUGAAGUUUCAAUUAUAGUCGUGCUACGACUGUAGGUGUUAGACUUUGUUCUUGGUAGAAGAAGCUUAACUUCCAUUGGAUCCUUACAACAUACCAUGGAGCAUAGGAGGGUGCACCGUGUUUACGAAUCCAACAAGACACAUGAGGUGGCGAGCUUUGCUUGAAAAAACCCUACAGGAUUCCAUUCCCGUGAAGGGUUGGAUUGGGGUUGUUUGAAAAAUUUCGCCAAGUUGAACUUAAUGAGACCUUACUAUUUCGAGGGGAAAGCAGAGUACAUAGAAAUUUUGAGGAAUAGUAUGUCAAGGCAAUCAAAGAGAUCAACAAUGUUGUCAUUAUCAGUAGCUUAAUGGUUCAUGUACUCGUUGCCUCGUUGGUUGUAUUGGAUCCGGAAAACUUAUUACUUUGAAUAUUGUACUAGUAUGAUUUUUAUGACUAACUAUUUAAAGUGUACAGAUAUUGAUCUAUGUUACACAAUAAAAUAUUUCCUUUUGCUUCAA